rnacentral:rRNA from 1 species
AGAGUUUGAUCCUGGCUCAGAAUGAACGCUGGCGGCAGGCCUAACACAUGCAAGUCGGACGGAAACGAUGAAGAGCUUGCUCUUCAGGCGUCGAGUGGCGGACGGGUGAGUAACGCGUGGGAAUCUACCCUUUAGUUGGGGACAACAUAUGGAAACGUAUGCUAAUACCGAAUAUGCUCUACGGAGUAAAGGUGGCCUCUACUUGUAAGCUAUCGCUAAAGGAUGAGCCCGCGUUAGAUUAGCUAGUUGGUGGGGUAAAGGCCUACCAAGGCAACGAUCUAUAGCUGGUUUGAGAGGAUGAUCAGCCACACUGGGACUGAGACACGGCCCAGACUCCUACGGGAGGCAGCAGUGGGGAAUAUUGCACAAUGAGGGAAACCUUGAUGCAGCCAUGCCGCGUGUGUGAAGAAGGCCCGAGGGUUGUAAAGCACUUUCAAUUGUGAGGAAAGGUUAGUUGCUAAUAACAGCUAACUGUGACGUUAACUUUAGAAGAAGCACCGGCUAACUCUGUGCCAGCAGCCGCGGUAAUACAGAGGGUGCAAGCGUUAUUCGGAAUUACUGGGCGUAAAGCGCGCGUAGGCGGACUGUUAAGUCGGUUGUGAAAGCCCUGGGCUCAACCUAGGAAUUGCAUCCGAUACUGGCAAUCUAGAGUUUAGGAGAGGGAAGUGGAAUUCCUGGUGUAGCAGUGAAAUGCGUAGAU